AUAAGUACUGAGCUCAAGCACAAACAAUUGUUGUCUGAUCUCAGGACUGAGACCCCACUCAAACCUUCUAACCUUCCUACUUUCAUCUAUCAUGCUCUCAGGAGAACAUCACCCCAACUCUAGGAACUUGCGAGCAUAUUCUGAUACAGUCAUGUCCCCCUAGAUCAAGUGUGCAGACUCCAUCUCCUUCAUAUAUCAGAGAUGCUCUAGGAGGUACUCUGCAUGAAAGGCCGUCAGGAACUGUUCCCAAGUGACUAGUAAGUGCAAAGUGGUCUGCUUGAGUUGCCACCAUCCGUCUGCUUCUCUCACUAGCAUGUAGGUAGUAAGAAUGACCUUCUGUUUGGGAAUCACCCUGAGGGUCUUGAAGGCCUUCUUUGUCUCAGCUAACCAGAACUCGGCCUCUUCAAAGGAGGAUCCCCCUGCAAAAAUAGAUGGAUUUAGUCUUUAAUAUCUUUCUAUGUAGCUUGGGUCCAUCAUGAGAGGAGUUAGGUCUCGUAGAUGAACGACUAGAUUGUGCUGAGGAUGGACUGGACGACCCUGCAGUGGUACUUGAUGAUACGGUGGAGGCACCGAAUUGUACUGUGGUGAUGCUGGGUGAUGUGAUGGCUGGGGCAUUAGAUCAUACUGUAGUGGUGUCAGGUGGUACUAUGGAGGAUCAGGGUCAUAUUGAGGUGGCUCGCGCUACAAGGGUGGCUCAACAUAUGGCAGCGGGGGAGGGUCAAGUAGCUCCCUCAUUUCCUCCCAGGCUUGUUGGGUAGCAAUGAGUCUCUCCACCAUCUCAAAUAACCGAUCAACAUCCUCUCUAAGCUAACCCUCCCGGAUUGCUCGAUUUAGUGGGAGUCUUUCUCUUCUCAUCUACUGUACAUGCAUUUCACAAGGAAUGGUUGACUGACAAUUCAUUAUUUUUGGUGUCUCCUAAGGAUUUGUGUAAGGAAUAGGUCCGAGGAACACGGUUCUGAUACCAACUGUAACGACCCCAGAAAUUUAAAAGAAAUAAAUAAUAACCUAAGUGCGGAAGUGAAAUGAAUAAUUAGGGU
rnacentral:lncRNA from 1 species